rnacentral:rRNA from 1 species
CCUACGGGGUGCAGCAGGCGCGAAAACUUUACACUGCGGGAAACCGAGACAAGGGGACACCGCGUGCAUGCAUACAAUGCUGGCUGUCCAAAUGUGUAAAUAGCAUGUGAUCGCAAGGGCCGGGCAAGACCGGUGCCAGCCGCCGCGGUAACACCGGCGGCCCGAGUGGUAAUCACUAUUAUUGGGUCUAAAGGGUCCGUAGCCGGUUUAAUCAGUCUUCCGGGAAAUCUGACAGCUCAACUGUUAGGCUCCCGGGGGAUACUGUUAGACUUGGGACCGGGAGAGGUAAGAGGUACUACAGGGGUAGGAGUGAAUCCUUGUAAUCCCUGUGGGACCACCAGUGGCGAAGGCGUCUUACCAGAACGGGUCCGACGGUGAGGGACGAAAGCUGGGGGCACGAACCGGAUUAGAUACCCCAGUAGUC